UUCAUGUUAAACUGAAACGAGCUAAGGGGCCGUAUGGAUACAGUUGUCACCAGGUUCAAACAAACAAGUAACAGGCCUAUAGAUAUUUCCACAUACUGACGUACGUAACGCGCGCUUUGUUCCGCCAGUGCCACAGCGAAUCAGCCAGGGGACAGGAGAGCCAAGAGUUGAACGGCUGCCAAAAGAGGCUGGGCCACCAUGCAGCUGAAACUUUUACAAGCCGAGCAGGAAGAGAUGCAGGGAGCGAUUAAAGAAGUCAAGGAAGAAAAGAAAAAAGUUGUGUGUGAGCAGACGUCCCUCUGUCACCCUGUAUACGGAUGGACGCACUCACGCCAGUAGGAGGGGAUUGUGGGAAGGGGGUGUAGCUCCUAGAGGGUGUGCUCUACUCCUCUCUUUUCCCUUCUUCCCGCCAUCACGAGCCUCUUCUCCUCCAGUCCUUCGGCCCAGCCCGCUGCUCACAUAGAGGCUCCAGGUAUUUUUCUUUUUUAUCCUGCGACACCUCUUCCCAUCUUUUUUAACUGUAAUCUUUCUCCUCCAGUUUAUCGCGUUGUCUUCUUUGUCCUUCAUCAUGGUCUUCCUCCUGUAAACGUGCCUAUCAUCAUCGAUUGCCACGCCGCACUCCGCUCGCCGCCAUUUUGGCUCGAUGGACAUAACAGGAGAAACUUUUCUAGAGCUCACAGGGACUCCACAACUCCCUGCUGACCAUCUUCCUUCUCUUGCUUCCUUAAUCUCUUUCUGUCUUUCUUUGCCGCCCUCUUCCUCUCCCCUCUUUACUCUAGCACAUGAGCCUCUGACAGGGUGGUAAACAGCCUUUUCUGUGGCUUUCCGUAUUGAACAGGUGUUUCUUUGUAGACUGGCAGGAAGAAGGCCAGGCCUUCUCAGUUACUUUCUGAUCUCUGUUGAUUAGCUGAGCCAGAGAGCUGUUGUUGUGUUCAGGUUCAGUAUAAGUUUAGUUACAGACCAGUUUUGAGUCGCUUGUCAGGUCUCAGAGCAGUAAUGAUAGGUACAGUAAUAACCAGACAAUUUUUACUGUGUUUCUUAUUCUCUUCACAUAAUGUUUGCACUUUUUACCACUAUGAAACUCAGAUACAUAGCAGUUGUUUCACAGGAACGUAUGUUUCCGCAUGUUAUAUCAUUCUGUGAAUUAGAGGUGUGGCUGUUUGUUAAAAGGUGACAACAGUAAUGUUUGUCUUGACUUACACUGCGCCAUAGGCUACUGAUGAUACUUUACACUUCAGGAGGAAACUCAGGCAGAAUUGAAACCGUGUUAGGUCAGCCAAACAGACGAAAGACUGCUAGUGUGACUGCCUUAAAUACAUGGGAGCAUUUAUCUGAUUGAUGUGUAUCUUAGGCCACAGCAAGAAAACAAGCACGUUAUUUAUUUUACUGCAUUUCUUUUUUAUUACAGUCACAUGUCAGACACUAGAAUACCAUAAAAUUAAAACAAAAUAUCAGGGUUCCACUCUCUGAAUUAAACAAAACAGAACGUACAUUAAUCAACAGCUGGUUCAAGCGCUCAUCCUAUUUUUAGAGGGCAGUUUGAUACCGAGUGAAUUCUAUGAAAUAUCGGCAUAUUUUAUGUACAAUUAUGAAUGUAACUGGGCUGCUUAUUGUCACUACUGUAUUCUGAUCUAGACUGAGAUUGAUUAUAAGAUGGCGCCUUAGUGCCACGUGUUUAAGAAACAGUGAAUUUGGGCUAACCCCACACGAAUCACGGUCAAACUACUCCACAUUUCUCUGCAUUAGACUGUUAUAUUUCAAAUCUUUGCCACUGAAUAGUAAAUUACUUCAUAAAAAAAGGAAAAGCGCCCCUUUUUAUGGAUAUCGACAUGACAGUGGUGGGGUUAUGUUAAGAAAGAGAAGUAGUAGAAAAAUAGAGAGAACAAGGGUUACAUAGACAGGAGGAGAGGUAGGAGUGGGAGAGCUCUGUCCCCGCCCCUCCCUUAUCCUCAGAUGAACUUAUCAUGUUGCCUCAUGAUGUUUAUGAGUUUUUCUCCUAGAGGCAGUCAGGCUAACUUCCUGCAUUCAGCCUCAACAUAGCUGAUUGGCUGAUAUCUUGGCUGACCGGCCGCGGUUUGCAGCGAAGCAACAGGAAGUUUCUCUUCUCAUGCAGGAAGCUGCAGCUGUUUCGUCCUAAAAUACACCCCCUUUGCACUCUUGCACGCAUGGUCUUUGUAUAUAUAUGCAGACAAUUAUGCACGCACAUCCUCUUAAAAAAGGCCAUACCUUUCUAAGUGUUUGUGUUUAUAUGCUGUAUGUGUGUGCAUGUACAUAAGUGUGUAUGGCCCGCUCUGUGUGGCAUUAGUGAAUGCUAUAACGUGGGCGUGUAGCAACUUGCCAGGCCAGGCAUCUGAGCUAUCAGAAACAUUUGAAACCAUGGUAACCAAACAUCUCAUCAGCAUAUCAGCAAAACCAUAGACAAGUGGAGAAGAGAUGGGACAGAGUAGAUGAAGAGGAGGAUCGACACCUUUGAUGUAGUAUAUUAUCUUCAUUCAGAUCGCUGGACAUCUGUGUAGUUGGACAGUAUCGGUAAUACACCAGCAAUUCAGUGAUUGUUUCUUUAUUCCUUUUUAUCAGCUAAAAUCUCUGAUUCUUUUGAAGAAAUCAAUAUGCAUACAUUUUUUAUACAAGCAUUGCCAGUGUUAGGUCACACUAACCUGAGAUGUGUGAAUAGUAUAAAUCUAAAAACGGGAUUCAUAAACGUGAAAUUAGUGUGUGCUCCACCACCUUUUCUAUUACAGAUUUUUCAACUUUGCUCUACUUCUGUGAGCGUCUAUGGUUGAAAUGGUUAUUAGAGAGUAUGACAGUCAAUACAAUGGCUCCCUUACAUUCCUGUCUUAUCUUGGUCAUGCUGUCUGUACAUCAGACAUGUUGCCCAACGUGUUUACCUAGUUCCUAUCCCUGUGACACUAACAUUUGUAUAUAUGCAGCCCUCUGUCUCACAAAACAGAGAAGUUGAUGGCAUAAGACUGGAAGUAGCUUCAUUUACCAUUCAGUAAAUCAGGAUAUAAUAGGCUGAUGUUCUACCCAGGUCAAGCAGUUGCACUGUGUUGAGUCUGCCAGUGUGUGCUUGUGUGUAAGAACGUGUACAUGGCAGUUAAUUUCUCUAUACAUGCAGACAUGUAAGCAUAAGCUGUGUGUGGUUGUGCCUGGUUAAUUAAGAUAUACAAAACAUCAGAAUGGGCACCAUGCCAAGCAGGCGUGGAUAAAGCUCAGUGCUCCCAUCCUUUGUCUUGUAAUGUAGAAAUCAUGGAUCCUUUAGGGAGUGGGGAAGAUGAAAAAGCAGGUACCAUAAAAUAAUCACAGUGCUCUCUUGAGGAUCAUCCCUAUUUCUUAGAUGGAUGGAGAAAGGUCUAGACACUAGUGAGACAAGACAUUUGUUCGUGUCAACUGUGGGAAUUCUUCAUCUUGCCAUUUACUAUGUGGCAUACUUCCUGUGCCAACUCCAGCUCCCCGCUGCUCCUCCUCUUUGCCCACCCUCACCACCUCCUUCCUCCCUUAUUGAAAUUCUGCCUGGCACGCAGACACUGCCCAUUCUUGGCACAAAGCUCAGACAGAGAGAGAAACACACAAGAACCUGUACCAAUCGUCUGGUACCCCCUCCGUCUGUGCCAAGCAUUCAUCCCGUCUCGUGGACCAAGGGACCAGGAAAUCUAAUAGGUAUUUCCCUGCCUCUGCUUCCUGCAAAAAUCUGCUCCAAUUCUGAGGAGUUUUGCUGGCAUCUGAGUGUGCUGCAUCCGUUUGGGGAUUUGCUAAUGAACUUGGGUUUACGCCGAUUGCAAUGUAUGAGGAAUAAAUCUGAUGAAUCCUGCAUCCUUUCGCGUUGGAGAAGAGGAAGCUAAGGCCUAUUUUUUCCACGAUCUUUUCAAAAUUUAUUUUCGCAAUGCAUUUUAUUAGUUAAAAAUGAUGCAGUGUGAUCAGGUUUUUCUCUCUUUUUUUUUUA